UUGUGUUGGGGGUUGAUGAUGAUGAGCAGUGAGAGAAGAUUGAAUCCAAAGUGUUUGAACCACUUGCUAAUAUGAGAUUUGACAGUGAAGACCGUAUGUCACUACCCGAGAAAGCCAUGUUGUUUUCGUGCAUUCUAUCCAUUUUUCUUGAAAAUUUUAUGGUGUGUAUUUAGACUUUCUAGAAAAUAAAAACAGGGGAAGACAAGGGUACUUAAAAAUUGCCCCUCUUCCUCUCAAAGUGAGGAUUUUAUUAUAUCUGUAAGUAAGAACGUUUGGUAGAGAAAAUAAAGAAAACUGGUCGAGCAGAAAAGAAUUGUAGUUGCUCCAAUCGUUUAGAGAGAAUAAGAUAAGAUUGCUGGAAAAGAAGAAAAAUGAAGACUUGUUGAGUAAGGAUUCACUCAGAGGCCAAGGGAAUUGGAAGGAGGAGGCAGAAGAGUCUCUUUUUGAGAGAAAUUGGGAAUUGAACAG
rnacentral:lncRNA from 1 species